UGUCAAAAUUGUGUGCUCAUUGCACUAAAACCAUUGGGGAUCUAGGGAACCACAAGAGCUUUUAAAAUGGCAGCUAAGGUCUGGGGAAACCCUUCAUGUUUAGAAACUGGCUAAAGCUUGAUUUCUCUUAUCUUUUGGUUAAGGGCACCACUUUCAGAUAAAAACAGAGACCUGAAUGGCAUCAUCCAGUAUCCAAGGAAACCAUGAUUAAAAUGUUAGCUAGGAGAGACCAGAGCAGCGCAUAGUCUACCUCAUUUCCCACUACUGAGGAUUUACCUAAUUGCAUAUGAAUUAAGAGAUUUUCCAUUCUGACUGGUGACAAAAGGCCUAUUUCCAGCCCUAGGAAGGUGCCAGGAUUGUCAUGAGGAUUGAAUGAGAUAAUAUAUGUUAAAUGCUUAGAAGAGUUCAUGGAAUGAGGAUUUGUGUUUUCCUAUCAUCAUGCUCCUUUCCAGCCAAUGAAUUAUGUACUAUGAAGAUAUUCCAAACAACGGAGCCCUUCCCAUGCCAUAAAGUGAAGUAAAAUGGACCAUCAUUACAUCACAUUGAAGUUUAGAGAUCGCUGUCUAGCAUGCAGGAAGGACAGCAUCACGGUCUUUUUCUUCUUCAUCACUUGUAAGGCCAUCAAGGGGAGGCAUGAUGGUGGAAAGACAAUUUUCCUGGAUGCUAUGAAAGUUCCAUGAGACAUAAAGGGAACAAGGGCCAGAUGGCACGCAGACAUGUGCUUGAGACUGGAACUCUUCUUGACGUCAGUGGGGAACCUAGGCAGAGGAGAGAAUAAUGCUUAGCUUGGCUUCACAGUCCAUUUUGGGAAAAGCGUCUGGCCUCCUUGAGAUGGAACUUCCGUUGGAUGGACCCCUGCUCAUUUCCUACAGACAGUGGAGUCUAUGCAUAGUAUUUAAUGCAACCACCAGUACAGGAUGAUAUACUUGCUCUACCACCCAAAUAUAUUGACUUUCUGUUAAAAGGCUUUUAACAUAAAUUUUAAGAGAUUAACAAAAUACAUCAUAGGCUAUUGCUGAGAAUGCAGGGUUUUUAACUACGUUUUUCUUACAUUGAUUUUAGUUCAUAUAUUUUAACCACUCCCUUAUUUUACUGUACCUUUUAAUUUGUUAUUUAUUUGUUUGAAACCAGAACUCUGCCAAGGCACUCUGGACCCACAGGAACUGAAAUAGUUUGCCUUCAUUAUCUGGUAGACCUGCUCGAGUCUGUAGCCCCUGACAGAAACCACAAGACUGUACAAACUGGCAACUGUGGGUUUGUCUGUUCUCUAUUGAUUCUAUUUCUGGAAAAAAAAACAUGAACCAAUGGGUGAGCCAUGUGACUGUACAACUGACCCAAAGCUACCAUCAGAAGUGGGAUGGAGACCUUUAGAGACAGGUCAUGAUGAGACCUCAACACUUUCCUGUCUGCUUCUUAAGCAUGGCUUUCAGUAGCUUUGACUUGAAACUUAACUCCCUGUGUUCUGAUGUAUGAAACUGGAGGAGAAUCUUCAUAUUCUAUAGCUUUUUAUUUAAAUUUGGGAGGCCAUAGGUCAAAAUGUUCCAGACAUCUAAUAAUAUGUGUAAAAGACCAGAUAUUUUAACUUAUAAAAUAUCUUAGUUUUUUCCUCCAUGUAAAUUGCAAAGCAACUCCAUCAGAAGACUUGAACACACACACACACACACACACACACACACACAUACUUUUCAGACUAUGAAACUGCAACUGCUGUAGUGUUUCCUUUUCUCGAGCUUUGGUAUUUGUGCUCAGUACUGAUACUUAGGUAAAUAGAAUGUAGGACUUCUAUGUAAUAGGGCCAAAUGUAAAAGUUCUGGUCUUGGCUCUAAUAUGCUAUGUGUCUUUGGUCUUCUCUCUUCUUCAUCAACUGUCAAAAGACUAAAUGAUCACUGAUGUCUGUUCUAAUUCUAAGAUUCAAAGUGAACAAGAAUCUUUGAUAGCACGAGACAGAUCUAGGUAGUAGAGAACACAGGUAUGGGAGAACAUGUCCUAUUAAACACACACGUGCAUGGGUGCACGCACACACACACACACACACACUCAACAGAAAAACCAAAAUAGCUCCCCUCUCUUCCUCCCCCAAUAAUGACAAUGCAGCCAUCUGUUGGAAGUUCCAUUUUGCUUAGCAGCUGCUCUCAGAUACAGAAAUCUGCAUUCCUCCGGCUUGUGCUGGUAUGCAGGCAGCAUGUGUGGGUACUAGCAUUUGACUCUCCACCCAAAGGAAUGGCUUUCAUUGAAUAAAAAUGAUUGCAGAGAUUUCUUAUUCCCCCAUUACACAAAUGCUUUUUUUCCCCUGAUAAUAGGCAUUUGGAGCCAUCUCUACUACUCUGUAUAUUAAAAUAUACCCUGUUAGAGAUAUUCAUAUCAGGUAAUCAUCUAAAAUUGAAGAGGACAACCAGGAAAGGCUCCAGUGAAACUCUGCCUUGCCAGAAACUUCUACUUUGAAGGAAAGUGGGAGAGGUUGGAAUAUAAACUUCCAUUCUAGUUUUAUUUUGUCCACACCCCCAGCAUUGCACUUAAGCACUGAGCAAUGAGUAUUGUUCAAAACAAAACUAGGAAGCUUUCAAAAGUAGCAUUAAUCUUGACAUCAAACUAAAUGAAAAUAUAUAAGAGAAAUAUUCAAAAGGGACAUGGAAGUAAAGUCCUUUAAAUAUUCCAUCUCCCUGCUGCUCCCAGCCCAAGCCUCUUCUACAGGCUGAAAUUUUGUCUUCUGUGUGGUAUAUUAUAUAAAGUGGUAUAUCAUUAAAAAAAGCAGCAAUUGAGUUGGGGGUUGGGAGGAGCCGCAGUUACAAACAACAACAAGAAAGUGUCCUACAGGCUCUGUAGAUGAGAACCUUGGGUAAAAUUGGAUCUGCUUUUGAGUACAUAAUUUAGGACAUUUGUUACAAGAUUACUGUGGUUUUCUAUAAAUGUUAGUUUGCUGUAUUAUUUUCCAUGAACUAGUUUUCCAAAAUGCAGAAUAUUUUGCCCCCAAAACAUGGAAGCACUAAAGCUCGAUGAGGCACUGAUUCAUGGGGUGUCACCCAGAAACAGCUGGUCAGCCAUCUGCAGCCCCAGAGUCCUCUUAUUUUUACUUUAUUCAGCUAAUUCUUUAUGUAGAGGGGGAAGAAGAUGCAUAAAUCCUGGGAGAAGAGCAUGGCUCGUUUAAGAAAAUGAUGACUAACGCCUGCCCGAGACUGAUAUCUGGUGGCCUGAUGUGCUGAUUUGGAGGGGUCCGUUUCCUAUGUGCAUUAGGCUUUCAGCUCUCUACUACAUGUGCAUUAUUUGCUGUGUAUCCUGUUCUUUUGGAAAAGGAAAGAAAUGAUGAUAUGCCAUUGAUUGUUUCAUGGGAAUGGUUCCAGAAUAGAGCACCCUUGAGAGCCAUAACCGGUCUUUUCAAAGCAGGCAGAAGAGCCUGCAAAAUCAAGGACAAGCCUGGAAGUUAGACCUGUAUGUUUGUCCGUGGAUCCCUCAAGUGUUUCUAAAUUAGACCUUUUAACUACCUUGAAUUCUGUGGUCAAAAAAUGUUGGAGGUAAAGACAGUAUUUGACACAAAUUAAAAGAUAUAUUAUGAUUCAAAGCCAGAAUUAUGUUAAAUGCGCAGUAAAUAUUUAGGCAGUGCUGUUUUAUUUUAAAUUUGACAUAGCUGUAGUAAAGUUGUGAAUCAUUCAAUUAGAAUAGCCUUUUGCUUCCCUGAACGGGAAGGGGCCUUGCUGACAGGAGGUAGAUUGUUGUUAUCCCUUCCUUGCGCUACUUAAGGCAGUUCAUUCAGAUGACAGAGCCAAAUGACUGUGUGGGAAGCAAACCUUCCAAUCAUAGGAAGGAGGCUUCUAGGUGCACAGGUGUAUGCUGCUUACGGGUAGGCAUAAUUAUAGUUUAAUCAAAUCCUUGUGUGUCUCAGGAGACCAUUUUUGGCAUACCUUUUAAUAUUUUUCUUGAAUCAUCAAAAUCUUCUCCCCAUUCUCCCCAUAUGUAUUGGUAUGUGUACACACACACACACUUCUUCCUUAUUUUAUUUAUUUAUCUUGGCUUAUGAUCACAAAGGUUUUUAGUUUCUUUCAUGCCUUACAUAGCAACUGUAGAAGAUGAAUCAUUUUAUUUUUACAGUUAAAAGGUAGGGAAGAUAAACUUUAAUUGCUACAUUUAACCUGUGUAGCAUUAUUAAACUUAACAUAAUUUAUUGAUCUACUCUAAUAUUUCUGGUUGUGUAAUACUGAAAAGCUGCCAUGACAAUUGACUAGAACAAAAGGGAAAUGCACCUUUAACUGAUAAGACAGACAAUUUUUGUAAAAGAAUUGGAAAACCAUCUGUACUGUAAACUUUUGUGUCUCUUUUUCAUUCCUGUUUACUCUGCUAUUCAAUCCAAAUAAAGAUUGUUUUCACCUCAGCAACAAAAAAAUCACAUGGACGAUCCUUCAGGCUGUCAGUCAGAAGAGAGAUAUACAUAUGCCCAAAGUAUACACUUGUGCUUCUUCUCGGUGUUAUUUGGGGAAAAUAUGUUACAUGUUCUCCUGGCUCUCCUAGUUUUACAUUUUGAAUUAAUGCAAUUUAUUCUAAUUUAUGACAACUGUUUGAAAGGCUUGCUCUCCAUUUUCCAGCUUAUAAAAAGGUUGUUUAGUUAGAGGGGGGAAAGCAGUAGGGAAAGUAGAUUGCCUUGCACAUUCAGGUGGAAAAAGCAAAUGGGCUCCCCAUCUCGGAGUCAGUGAUAUGCACGAGGGUUGAGAUUGUAAGCACAUCUGUUGUAAAAACUUUUUCUGCCCCCUUGGAAAUGGGAUUGAAAUUAUGGAGAACCUUUCUUCUGCUUUUUAAAGAAAGCCUUAUACAAUUGAGUUAAUUACCUCCUCCUCUUCUCUUGUUCUCUCUUCUUGUAUUUAUACAGCAGCCAUCACCAUAGUACCCUACACACGUUGAUAAGAAUGCCAUUUGAGACAAAAUAAAAAUAAAAAAGUAAGAAGAAGGAAAAAAGGCACAUGGUAGAAAAGAAAGAUUAUUUCUUGUCAUAGUCCAAGAAUCCUCUUAAGGUUCAAAACCAAUAAAAUAGAUUGGCCCCGUUGUAGCUAGAACAGUCUCAACCAUAGUGGGUAUUUAAGGACUAUUUUUCAGUUGGUGUUAAUAGAAUCCAUUAUUCUGUCAUUGUUUAAAAACAAAGUCUCGUCCCAGUAUACUCUAUCCUGCCUUCAUGCUUCCUAGAAGGGCUCUGUUUUGAAAGGAUCUCUUGCUAGAGAAGAAGCUGAGCAGAAAGAGAAUGACAGGGAGCACGUGUAGAUUUCAGGGGAAGUCUUGGAUCCAAAUAUCCCUUAGGGCUUUAUGAAAUUCUGUUUCCUGUUGACACAAGGUAUUUAUCUUGUUUACUGUGUACCUGUACGAAGUGUUAUGUGGUAUGUAUAACCAUAGCCAUUAGCAUCCUUUAAAGGAAUAACAAGUCAUAGAAGUAAAGACAUUAUUAUACUUAUAAUCCCCUUAAGUGUAUGAACUCAUUUAAUUCUCAUAAUAUAUCUAGGAGGUAUAUCUAUGGUUUUCAGCACCAUUAUAAAAAUUAGGAGGCUUGAUGAUCGACAGGCUAAAUAAUCAGCCCAGAAUCAUGGUUAGUAACGAUCAGACAAAAGGGAUUUGAACCAGGGUAGUCUCAUUCCAGCUUCUGUGUUCUUACCUACCAUGCCAUGCUGACUCUAAACUACUAAUCCAUUCAUACUGUGUCAGUAAUCAGGGCUUGGAAUAAACCUUUAGGGUAAUAUUAUUUUAAGGCCUAGAUCUUACCAGUACAAUAAUGAUCUGCUCAACCUCAAAUCUAAUCUAGCCUUGGGGUAGGCAACUGAAUACAAGACUUUCCAGAAAGGACUACUCUAACUUAUUCUUUGUUUACAUGGAAUGUUCUAACUAAUUCUUUGUUUACAAUUUUUAAUGCAAUGCAUACUUAACCUGUAAAAUCCAUGGCCUUUCACUAAAACCAUGCAUCCAUGUAUUCACGUAAAGUUACUGAUGAUUCAGUGAAAAAUCAUUUUGCUUUCAUAUAUGUAUUAGUCUACUGGUUAGGGGGAAUUUAAACACGUAAAUAGUUAAUAUAGUGCUUCAGUAUGACUGAUAACAUUUAUAAAAUAUGGCAACAAGGAAGAAGGAUUUUGUGGUGUAGAUAAUGGGGUUAAUACAGACUGUGAAUUGGGGUAAGGAUAUCUACAUGGAGAACUAGGUUCUUGAAUUAAAGUCUUGAAGGGUUGAUGAAAAGUAUGUAGCCAGAGAGUCAUGUGAAGACGCUCUAGGAAGACGAAGCAGCUUGUUCCAAGAUUUGAAGGUAUGACAGAGCAUGAUGUCCAUGAAAUACGACAUAGCUGGAGUGAGAUGUCAAAGGGAUGAGAGGUGGGACUAAAAGAAUGAGUAGGGAUCAGACCAUGAAGGACCACUGGGUCCCCUAUUCUGUAAGUAAAAGCAAAUCAUGAGAGAUUAAUAACAAUUGUGGGCUUAUUUGACUUUUGUUUUCAAAAAUGAGCUCAGAAUUCAAUGGCCUGAAUGAGGGUAAAACCAAAGGGGAAAAAAAGCUGUGAAGGGAUCUUAAGGCAUAGUGAUAGACACUACACUAUAAUUUUAAUACUCAGAACAAUCCUAUGUACAAGACACUAUUUCCAUUAAGGAGAUUAAACAAAGCCAAACAAAAUUGAGAACUGUUGAGUAACUUGCCCACGAUCUAAGGCAAGUAAAUGACAGCUGUUUUACUUUCACAUUAGACUCCAAUCCUGCCCACUUCCUUCUAUAUCAUGCUGUCUCCUAUUUCAGUGUCUUAACAAAAAGUCAACACUCCUAGUCUCCAGUUAGAAUUAUUCAAAACUUCCCUCUGCUCUCCAGAUUCUCUUCCCAACCCUCUGACCAUGCCUGUACAGUCUCUUCUGCUGUACACCUUCAGCCUUCCUCUCUCAAUGGUUCCUGUUUCUCAAAGUUCUCUCCUGAGUCCUCUAACCUCUCCUUUUUUGUAUCAUGCACAUCUCUCCUUGACAAAAUCUCUUCUUUUGCAGUAAUCCUAUCCAUUUCAUUCAUCCCAUGCAAGAACCCUGCCCCCUUAACUCCUCUAAUUCUCAACACUGAGAGUGUCCCCAUGUCCUGUUGUUACUAUCUUAUAGUAUAAACAAGUCUCCUAUGGCAAGUCCGGUAAAAUGAUCAUUGUGUCCUGCCUAUACUGUUGAAAGAGCAAUUUGAAUAGUUUUUACAUUGGGCUAUCAGGUUGACAUUUCUGGGCAGAAGUUGGACUCUACUACUCCCUUGCUUAAAUCUUUUCAUUGGCUCCCUAUUAAAAAUAAAACAAAUUGUAAUUUUCCAAGAAUGCUCAAUGAGUACCCCUAAAUUGGGCCACCAGUUUUCACGUCAAACCUUAUUUCCCAUUGCUUGGCAUACUGCUGGCUGCGAGGAAGUACUCAACACACAUCUCUUGGGCAAAUGAAUGAGUGAAUUUAACUCACGUAAACUGAUAAAUUUUUAAAAAUUAGAGCUAUAUAUAGUCUAAAAUAACAACUUCAUUUUUUAUUUCAGUUUAGCUAUCCCAAGGUAUCUGGUCAUACUAAAAAUAUUUAUAAACAGACAAAGCAUUGGCACUGAACAGUCAGAAUGGGCAUGGGCUAUGAAUCACUAUACAUGUACACUGAAAGGCCCCUGAGUUGAAUGUGCUUUCAUUUACACCAGGCAGAAAUGCUUCUGCACAAAGUUCUCUGACUUUGAAGACCUUUCUAUUGGCUUAUUCUGGUUCCAGUAAGUUUCCUCUCUGAAGCAGCUGGAUGACCCAUAGUAUAGAAGUAGCAUUCACAGGUGGGGUCCAGGACUUUAAGAAAACAGUCCCUGUGGUCCUGGUAGAUGUGACUCAGAGAAGCAUACCGCCUCCACAUUUGCCCUGCUCUCCUCUCAAAAGCCCUAUCGGAAGACCUUUGAGAGUAUGUGCAUGCACAGUGCCCCUCCUCUUGAGCCAUUAGCUUUCCAAGAAUUUUUCAGUCCCAUGACAACUGUCUACUUCUCUCACUUUUUUACCUUUUUCUGUUAGUUAUAAGUGUCUUUCCUCUCCCAAUACCUUUUACUCUUCUUCCUCCAUCUUUCUUUUCUGCCACGAGCCACACCCACUUUCUUAAUUGAAUAAAAUCAGAACCUGUUAUAUAUUUAAGAUACUCAUUAAAACAUUUUACUAACCAAGAAUCAAAUUAAUGAUUUGUGAUUUUUUUUUUGCUUUUAUGAUUUAUUUUUCAAAACAAAGUUAAGCCAAUGCAAAAAAUGUUGUUUGUUACCUGGAUAAAACCUUGAAUACAUCCAUUUUUUGUUCUAAUGGGGCAAUGGUUUAUUACAACUCAAAAACAUUCUGCUAUGAUCAGACUGCUUAAGCAAACAACAGCAAAAGCAAGUGAGAAGCUGGUAUUAAGAAGAAGGAGGAGGAGAAGGGAAGAGAAGGCAAAUGAGAAAGAGGAGAUUCCACAGACCAAAAGUUUAAAAGGAAGGAAAAAAAAGGACCUAUACACAUAAAUAAGAAGCCUGUGAUGACUGCAACCUUUUUCUGAUUCAGUCUUUCCCUUCUAGACAUUGGUGAAAUGCCUAUCUAGCCAAAGGAAGACUAGCCAGAAGAGGGGAAAUCACAUCUGGUUUCUGAUGAAACAUGUGUUUGAGGAUCCUCUAUGUACUAAAUCUUGUUCUAGGAAGGUGAGAAUCUUAUAAGAAUAAUGUGUAUCAGUGAUCAUCUGUGUUUCUUGUCAGGUUUAAAGCAAUUUCUUUUGAGGAGAAUAUUAUUUUACUUUGUCAGCCACCCUUGUAAGUUGCUUUGUGUGCCACCAAAAUGAAAAGCAAAGAGUAGGCAAAAGGUAAAAUAAUAAAAUCAUGCACAUAAAUCUCAUCAAGAUUUGUCUUCGAUUUACUGUGGAGAGAAGGUUCAGCCCUCUUAUUGUAUGUGCAUCUGUUUCCUUAUCCCCAAAAGGCAUUAGUGGAACAAACCCCUACUGUACCUGGUGGAAGUAAUGCACAGCAGCAACUUCCCUUGUGCGGCUGGAUAUUAAUGCUAAUGUACGGGAGUUAAAUAUAGCACAAAGCUAGUGUGUUGGAAAGAAAAAACAAAGCAAAUAACAUCACACUACAAGGGGUGGGAUGGGGGAGGCGAGGAGAUGAUUAUACCCUUAAGCCCCAGGAUAAACUGCAACAGUGGUAAACUGAUAAGAGGAGAAUACAACUAGUAUACAGAACUCAGUCAUGCUGACCUAAUAUCCUCAGUGGCAAAGAAAACCCAAGAAUGUUGCCUAGAUGAGUGUGGAUGAGAGAGUAUGGAAAAGUGACAGAAAGCUUUGGUGAUGUUUAUUAAUGAGUGAAUUCAAUAAGAAAAAUGGGACUAAGUUUUCUAGUUUCCCCUGACUUCUAACCGGAGACUGUAUUAGAUCAAAUACCAUUGGAGUUAGUAGAAACAUGUGAAUCCUACAUGGUUCCCAUUGCCUAACUGUUAGAAACCACCUUGAAAAAAUCUGGAAAAAAUGCUUCAUGGGUAAUGGCUUCGAUGAAGGAGUUUUGUUCUGAGAAAGUGAUCCAAGGUCAUGAGAAUUUUGACUACAGCUAUAGAAAUUUUGGUUUCAGCAUGUGCUGUAUCUUUCUCAUGACAAUGUGAAGUAUUGGUAAAAGUACUAGAUGUGGAGUUGGGGCAACUGCAUUUAAGUGAGUCUUUCCCUAUAUCAAAUAUAUGUAAUAUUGAAAAAGUAGAAAUCUCAGCAUGUUGUGAUUAUGUUUAUUUUUUCAUUUCUAACCUGAGAUGAUUUAAUCAGAUGACCGCGACUGUUCUAUCUGGUUCUGACAUGCUACAUUCUCAGUGGGCUAUGCCCAGCUGUGCUGUGAGGCCUGAGGUAAAGGAGCCUCCCCUUCCUUAGGGCAUUAGACACUUCCUUUUGGGGAAGAUCCUUCUUUUUCUACCAGAACAACUGACUUCAUAACUGAGCAUUCUGAAUGGCUCCUGUCUCUUUAGUUAAGGGAUAUGUCCCCAGGGCUUAGCAUAGCCAUGGAUUGGCACUAGGUACUCAGAAAAUCUUUGGUGAGUGAGUGAAGUACCUGUCUCCAAGGAAACUGAUCCUUAAAUGGGACUUAAGGAACACUCCUUUCAGGGCAUAGGAUACUGAUUGUAACUGGGGUUAAAGCAAGGACUCUGUUCAAAUCUCCACUUUAUCACUUACUGUUUGGCUGACCACAGGCAAAUUACUUAAUCUCUCUAAGCUAAUCCUCUUACAGUGAAAGUAGGGUUAGAAUUGUGUUUCCCUAAUAGGGAUAUUGUGAGAUAUAAGCCAGUAUUGCAUUAUUAGCACAGUGACUAGUAAAUACUGAGUAAUCCAUAAACAUUAACUAUACUUAGGUCAGGUCUAAGUUCUGAGCACACAAAUGGUGGGGAGACUUCUUUCAAAAUCAUAGUAGAGACAGGUGUAUUUUGUUAAGAGUUAGCUAAUAGUUAUUCAACAAAAAUGAAACAGAUUUUAAAAACUAAAUUCUCUAUGAAGCUGGAUUGUGUUGUGUGGUAAGGGGAUCUAGGGAGGUGUAUUUAAAAGGGAGAUUAAGAGUGAAGAAGAAAUAAGCUGGUUGCCAGAUAUUAUCUAGAGAAAAGUAAAUUUGGCAGACAGAAUACACAGGAUCCAGAUUAGAUACUGUGAUUUGACCUGGGCUUUUGCUGGACAUAUUAAAACAACAUCAUCUAAGGGAAGAGGGGUGGUGAGCUUGAAUCACAGUCUAUUCACUAGGGCCAGGGUGCAUGAGCAUCUGGCUAAGGUGAAGGCAAAGUGCCCAGAGGAAAUUGUCGAAGCUCAUAUUGGAUCCCAGCAAAUAUGAGAGCCAGAAGCGAUGGUGAUGAAGUUCAGGAACAUGCACAGCAUUUUCUGACACAGCUGCAUUUGGGUUUGCAGAUAACACCCCCCACCCCCACUCCAUGUAGGGCAGGAUGAGAACAGAUAGUAACUAAGGGGUAGGAAGCAGGGCAUUAGCAAAAGCUGGGGCAGAACCAUAAAAAAAGUGAGGUUGGAAUGCAGGGAUGGGCCCAAGCCCUAUAAUAAAAUUAGGUGAGCGCCUCAGCCCUGCUCCAAGGCAGAUGCUGAGGCUUCCUGUUUGAGUUAAAAUAGCAGGAAAGGGAAUGGAGAAUUAGGGAGGGAGCUCUUUAGGGACUUCAGGGCCACCCAAGUUUUAUUCUGCUCAUGGGUGAAAUAUCUGGUAGGCAUCAGAAAUUAAUUCCAAGUUGCACCAUGUGAAAUUGACAGUACCCAUAUGUAUUCUGAUUUCAUAUCAUUGGUUCAGAAAAGUUAAGCUGGCUAUAGAGACCAAUGAUAAAGAAACUUGGCAGGGGCUGACACCAGUGCCGUAAGAGUAGAAAUAAAAGCAAAGAGAAGAAUCAGGAGAAGAAACUAAAGCUAAGCAACAUUGACCACAAAAAAGAAAACUACAUUUUUUUUUAAAUGAGUAAAAGACUUAUUUCUCAGAUCCAAGAAGGCUUAUCUGAGGCAAAACUGGCUGAUGCAGUAGCUGUGAAGAAUUUCCAUGUUUUCAAAGGAGUUGGAAUUGAGGCCUGCAGAGAAAAAUAAAUAAGCCACACUUCCUUUCUCCAUCCACUUCUCUUGGUGACCUAACAGGCUAGAAAGAGCGAUUGUAUUAAAACAGGAUGGGCGGGGACUACUGUUAUCUCAAGAAUCCCUGGGUCAGUGCUCUAAGAGAUAUCUGAAAAAGCAAGUUGCUAUCAAGAAUUACCUGAGGCAAACUGCUCGAGGCUAAAAAGCAAUAGCAAGCAUUUUAAGAUAAGAGAAGAUACAGUUUACAGUCAAUGUAAAUAGCCCAUAGGCAUAUCACAGCCUCCUGCAAGCUAAAGAUCUGCCUAGCAAUUACCGUAGGAGAGAUUCUGAACGUCAAGUAGCACAGUCUGGGAACGUCCCCACCAAGAAAUAUAAAGAAGGGAAAGACCUUGUAGUCUGGGGUUCAGGCCUUGUAGUAGAAACCUCACAGAAUGUCAUGGGAAGGUAAACAGACUGUGAAAAUCCAGAUAGGUUAUUCCCUCUGGUUGCUGUUUCACACCAAGUUUAGCCAUUUCACUAAGCGUUAAUUCUUCGAUCUGAUCUUUAUUCUUCCCCAUUUUGGAACUUUACAGACAUCUGUAUUAUCAGUUAGAAUUUGAUAUAGGGAAAUGUAUUCAUUACUUCCUGUUCUUCUUGCCUUUCCGCGUGACCUCAGGUACUCUUAGAUGCCCACAGCUGGUUCAAUUCAUGAGGUAUGAGUGACACAUGAGCCAUUCCGUGUUUCCAUUACAGUUCAGCUUUUUUCCUUGUGUGCUGCUCACAGGGAAUUAUCCCUCAGGAACCAACUUUUCAACAUUUUGCAUGAUAGGCUUUAGGGGGCUGACAUGCAAGAAUGGAGGAGUCAUAAAGCCUGCAUUUGAGAGAUUGGUGGAAAAAGCUUAAAAAUUAUCUAGUAAGUGAUAAUGUUGGAACACCAUUAUGAAUUAAAAUAGAACAUUAACUACUAUAACCAUCCUCAUAUAUAACCAUCCUCAAAUUUGUUAAAUCUGACUGCAAUCAAGUACAAACCAGCAGUAGUUUUAAUACUUUCCUGCUCAUCAUGUUUGAGGAAGUGCCCAAGAGCACCCUAUGUUCUUUCAAGUUGGUCCUUUGUCUCUGGUAUGAGUUACAGUGAUGAAUUAGGUAUUCUUUUAGUAAAUAUUAGACACAGCCUAGUGCAGGUAAAUUGUCUUCAAGAUAUAGAACAAUCUAAAAAUUGAUUAAGACCUGGAAACCAUUUUUGUUUUAAAUUACACUCCUUUAUUUUGUACAGAUUUACAAACUGUUAUUUAUUUACUCACUAAUCAAUUUAAACAGUUUCAUAGGAAUAACACAAUUAAAAUAAUUUGAAAAUGGAAUCAUUUAAAGUGUACUGAGUAUGUUAUUUAAUUACUAUCUAUUAUAACAGCCUUUUCUAAGCACCAUAGGAAAUUUUCAGAGUGCAGUCAGGGGAUAUGACUGGACCAUGCAAAGGAUUGAUGUGAUUUGAAUAAAGAAUAGAGAAUAAAACAUUUGUUUGGCUUAAAUUGGGCAACUUGAUUUAAGAAGCACCAGAACAAUACACAAAACUGCAUAUGCCAUCCAGCCCUGUCAAGAAAUACUAUUCCAAUGCUGCGGGGCUGUGCCAAUUCAUUCGGAAUGCCAUCUUCAGCCUGCCUCAUAUGGCAAGUCAGUAAAGAGUCAAAACCAUUUCCAGUUUCCUUUAAUCCCUCGGAGGUGGAUACAGGAGGCCAGUCUGCCUUUUUCACAUUGCUGGGAAAUAAAGCAGAAAGCACAAGUUUUCCUGGCUUCUUCUAACUUUACAGUGCUCAGCAGCCAUACAGAGCAAGUAAUCCUCUAAUAUAUGCUGAUUUUAUUGAGGUUUACAAAUAUUCAUACUCCAAUUCUUUUUGAAAUAAAGUAAGACAAUGAGUAAUAAAUAGAAACUUCAGAAUAGGCAAGACUAAUUCUAUUUUGAUGCCACAGUACUUUUUUUUUUUUGCUCAUGUUUAGGUCAGGCAGCCAUCAUUGAACGGUUAUAGUCGGUUCUUGUCAGCUACUUGCCUACUUCAACACUAGGGAUCCUGGAAACUAUUUAACAAUAUGAUAGAGUCUUAUAUUCCACCUUGAAGGGUCUUAUCCACGUGACCUUUGGGAUAUUAGUAGUAGGAAGUACAUUUAUUUCUCUCAGUUUGUUCACUAGUGACCAGAAUAAAAAAUCUUAGUAGGUAGCACAACUAAAUUCAAUGCCAAAAUAGAAAUGAAUAACGUUUGAUUUUUGCUAGCACUGAGGCAGUUCAGCCAGAAAGCUAGAGCAUGCUCAGCUUCUUCUUUCUAAUCUCCUGAAUUUAAUUAAUCACCAACCCUCCUGUACUUUGUUUUCUAAAUUGUUCUUUAUCCUCUUCCCUCCUCUCCAUCAUCAACACCAUUACCUUACCAUUUUUUCUGGAAUGCGAUUUUUGCCUUUUAGUUGGUGAACCUGCUUCUUUGUUCACAGGAAUUCAAAUCAGAUGACACAUUAUUGAGAGUGCUGUUUUUCUAACAUUCUUAUCAGAUAGCAUUAACCACCUUGAUUAAAAACAAACUAUAAUGACAACAACAAACCCAGGACCAAACUCCAGUGGCUUUCUGUCACUGGAAUGACAAAGUCCAGUUCUGAACGGGGUUUUCAAUACAUUCACAUUUUGGCCCCUACCUAUCUUGCAGGCUUCAUCUUCUGCCAUACUCCUCCGUGCCUCUAGUACAUUAGCCAGACCAAACUAUUUGUUCUCUACACCUGCUAUGGAUUCUGUGUGACUUGUUUGCCUUCUCCCUCAUCCAUCUUCUCCCUUAUGCAUGUUGCAAACUCAUCUUUCAAUUUUUUGCUCAAAAGUUACAUUUUUAUAAAACUUUUCUAGAAAGCUCUUACCUCCUAGAUGAGCUUAAAAGAUGCUUGUUCUAUAUGUUCCAAGCACAUUGCACAUUUCUCUGUAAUAUAAUUUUCUGACAUUGCAUUGCUAUAUUCCCUUUACAUCAUGAUGGGUUGAAAGGUCAUAGUCCCUGCUUCUUUCCUAUUUGAGUCAUUAGCAGCUGACAUAGUGUCUGAUACUACUGUCAACAAGUACUUGUAGAAUUGAUGGAUAUAUGAACAUACUGGUUUGUUUUCCAGUUAUAACUGAUACAUGGACAUUUUUCUAAUAUAGUCUUUUUCAAAUGAGUUCUUAAGGGAUCUACUGUCCUAUGAAAGUUGUUUGGGGUCUGGGCUGCAGGAAAUAAGAUAGGAAAACUCAAAAAGAGAGGUUCUGGGUUUCCAACCCUGCUUGAUCAGAGUGGCUCCUCUGUUACUUGUCUCUUAUCUCAGGGGUUAACAUACAUAAGACUUUAUGUCAAGAAGUUUCUACUUCCCAAAGAAGUUUGAAAACCACUGUAAAUGAUGUGGUCCUUGUCAGCUCUGAGGUCAUCUCUGCCCUCAUAGCAAAACUAGAAAAAAUAGCCAUUUCUAGCCAAAUAUUUAAAUGCUAUUUCGUUGUCAGAAAUUUUGUGCUUGGAGGAUUUAUGUAGCUUUCCAGUCAAGUCAUUGAAAAGUACUUUGAGAAUUCCCCAUUAAAAUAUCUUCUUUCUAAGAUGCUUUGGUGAGGACAGUUAAAAGUUGAAAGUUGAAGCUAGAAGCUUUGGACUUGUGACUCUUCUUCACCACCAAGCUCUACUAUUUUCAGUAUACCAUUUACAAUCUCUGAAUCUCAGCUUCAUCACCUGUUAAAAAUUGAAAAGGAAGAAUAUCUCUAUUUACCUAGUAGAGAUAACAUCUAUAAAGAUAGCUUCUAAACCAUAUGGCACUAGGAUAAUACAUGGUCAAAAAAAUCCAAAUUGUUUUCUUCUUCACGUAGCUGGAUUAUAUUUCUUGCCUCUGUUUCAGUGUUAUCUGAAUAACAUUCACUAGUAAAUUAGGAAUAGACUGCCGCAUGUUAUUUCUGGGCCAAGGAUUUUAGAAAGGAAAUAUGCUCCUUCCAUUCAUUUUCCCUCAUAUUUCCAUCUAGAUGCAGGUAAUUAUAGGAUGUUAAUGAGAGGUGAAGCAAUAAGAUUAAAAUCCCCAGGCCCCUGAAUUACUGUGUAGAGGAGAGCUGCCUGUCAACCAAGAGUAUUCUCUUUGAAAUGUUAUGUAAGCGAGGGAAAACUUCAUUUAUGUUUGAGCAGUUACAUAGUAUUGAAUCUAUUUGCUACUGUAGCUGUUCCUGUCCAAAUGAAUUAGGGUGCUUUACAGUCAUAAGAUGCUGUUGUUUGUAUGAUCACGUCAUGUUCCUGUCAAUCAUCACUAUCCCAUGUGAUCUACUUGGUGAAGGAGGCUAUCAAUGGUAGAGAAGCCAGGUUUGAGUUUUCUCCUACAGUCUCAUUAACAUGUUUCUGUCACAAGUCUGUGACAAUGUUGAUUUAUUUUGAGUGUCCAGGGUCACUUCUAACUGAAACUUCAUUUUUGUAAGAGUUAGAAAAAGGUGCUUCUCCUAGAGGAGGCAGAGCUUUCCUAUUGAAGGGAGUUCAAGAAACAGGCAGUCCUCCUUGGCAGAUUCAGGGUAGAUUGAUUAGAAAAAAAUCUUCCCCUGUAUGGUGAUACAGCCAGCCUUACAUGGCUUCACAGAUACAGGAUAGGCUAUGAAUGCUUCCAUAUUCAGAAAAGAAAGAACGUAUGAACAUUCCAUUUAGAAGGAAGAAUGUGGACAAAAAAAUAUUAAGGUGCCAAAAUGUACAGCUAAUUAUCUGGUUGACCUAGGGCAUGAGGAUAGAGAUGAGAAUAAAAAGAUAGAUUGAAGCCUUAUCAUGAAAUCAUUGGAUGUCAUUAUGGGUAGUUUAGAUAUUAUUUUGGGCAAGGAGGAUCCAUGGUAGGAUUCUAACAGAGACGCUUUAUAAACUGUAUGAAAAAUGUUUUGAUGGGAGUAGCCUAGAUGCACAAUGAGUUAUUGGAAUUAUUUGGGCAAGGAGUAAAGAGAAUCUGAGUUAAGACAGUGACAGUAUGAAGACAAAGAAGAAUAUAGAUUUUGGAACAAGAUUUGAAUACUUUCAGAUGUAAGAAAAAAGAAUAUGUGGAAAAAAAUUAAGAAUAAGAUGUAGGGUCUGGGUACAUAGAAUAAAGUGAUAUUCUUAAUGAAGAUUGGAAUGCCAUGAAAAGGUAUACAUUCUUAUAGAAGAUGAGCUCAGUUUUGAACUCCUUGAGUUUGAUUGGAUCUAUAUGCAGACACAAGUUUUAUAUCCUGUGUCCAUUUUUACGUUGUAAAUAGGUAACACUUAAAAGAGUCUCACUCUAUUCCAGGCAUUACUUUAAGUGAUUUAAAUAUAUUAAUAAAUAUUCAAGAAGCCAUAAGAUAAUUAAUAAGAUAAUCCUAAUUUACAGGUAGUUGAUAUGUUUGAAGUUACACAGUUAGGAAGUGGCAGAAUGAAGAUUUUACCUCGGGAAUCACACUCAGAAAUUCAUGCUUUGAACUUGCAUGGUAUGAGGCUUCUUGUAAACUCUCUUGGGGAAAGGAAACUUCAGCAACAAAGAAAGAAAGUAGAAUAUAGACUGUGGAUGUUUAGGAAUCUUUAAGUGAUUUGUACAAAUCCAAGUUCUUCUAGUGGUUUUGUUUCUCCUUAGUUGAGCGUUCUGCAUCUUUGGAAGCUUCUAUACCAAUCCGUACUAUUUAACAGCUAGUAAUCCUUUUCCAGACAGAAAUGUGUUUCAGAAAAAAAUAUAUAAAAUUACAUGGGAAUGAGAGAAAAGGUGGGAUUUGGUAUUCGGUUCUGUCAUAGACAGAAGAGAUUUUCAAUCAUAAUGAUAUGUUAGUGCCCUGUGAAGAAAGCCAGAAUAUCUUGUCAGCCCGGACCCUCACAACCAGCCUUGUUCUUUAUGAUUGGUCUUUAGCCAGAGCAAAUUUUCCCAAGUGACAGCUGUCAACUGUCACAGGUUACAGAUUAAAGUGAUAAACUACUCAGAAUGGUGGAUAAAAAUACUACAAACUCAGAGAUUCUAAGCAGAAUCCUUUAUAACUAGAUUCUAAGCACUAAGAGUAGAUUUCCACUUUUCUCACAUCCAUUUCUUGGAACAAUUUUGACUUCACAGUAGUAUGAACAACUGGAAAUAGUUUGUUAAUGUUACUUUUCAGUUCCUCUGGUCCCUUUAACUGAAGUCUCUGCCCUUCCAUACCCAAUUCAGAGAUAAGAUGUUGCUAUGGUCUGAAUGUCUGCCUUCUUCUAAGAUUCACAUGUUGAAAUCUAAUCCUGAAUGCGUUGGUAUUAAGAGGUGGGGCCUUUGGGAGGUGAUUAGGUCAUGAAGGCAGAACCCUCGUGAAUGGGACUAAUGCCCUUAUAUAACAGGCCUGAAAAAGUUUGUUUGCCCUUUGCUCUUCUGCCGCAUAAAUAUGCACAGAAGGUACCAUCUAUGAGAAACAGACACUCACCAGACACUGAAUCUGAUGAUAAUUUGAUCUUGGACAUUCCGGCCUCAGAACCAUAAGCAAUAAAUUUCUGUUGUUUAUCAAUUACUCAUGCAAAGCCAUUUUGUUGUAACAGCCUAAAUAGACUUAGAGAUACGUGUGUGAUAAUAAUCCAAUUCUGUUAUGUUUUCUUCAUAUCCUAAGACAUUUUCAGUGAGAAAUGAUUGGCAAAUUAACAAAAGUAAACUGAUGCCUCUAAGGUUUGGUAUGUGAAGGUAUUCAGUAGGGAGGAUGAGUUGGGUAGUCACAUGCUCCAGUUUUCCCUGGGCAACCCUGAUUUACCUCUGAUGUUCCAGUGUUAUUAUCAGUAAGUUCCUCUUUCACACUCUGAAAAGCAUCAAGAGUCUUGGGAUAUAGAUCUAGCACCUUGAUUUUUAUAUUUGUUUGGGUAGAUAAGUGUGGCUAGUUAUUUGAAGGCAGCCUCAGAGCUUCCUGUAUAUAUAAACAGAAUGUAACAGCAGCUAAGAUACUCAUUACAAUACUCUAUAACUCUUCUCUACUCAUUUUUAUCAUAGCUUUAUCAAUAAUUUGAUUAUUGAAUGAUGAGCACCUGGAUUAUUUAACUAAAACUAGUAGAAAUAUAAACCUGAACAGAUGUUAUGUAAUAAUGACCUAUGAUAUCUGAAAAUUGUCUACCCCAACAUCCUAUCUCCUUUUCCUUCUUGGUAUAAGAACUCUGAAUUUAUUUUGGGGUGGCAAUGAGUCAAGCUAAUGACUGCGUUUCCUAGAGUAGCAAGAUUUGCAGCAAGACAUGCAAUGUGACUAAGUUCUGGUCAAAGCAGUAUAUUCAGGAGUGUGUGUUACAUGCUAUUUGGAUUGCAGUGGAAUGCCUAGAACUGAGGGAGCCAUCUUCAACCAUAAAUCAACACACCAAGUCAAUGUGUGUGUUGCAAGAAAAAAAGGAUGCUGGUUUUCUAAUGAUCUUGGAGCCAUGACAUUAGUUCUAGAUUGCCUGCUUCUGCAUAUCUUUCCUAUGAGAGGGAAGAAGACUCUUUCCUUUUUUUUUGAGAUGGAGUUUCGCUCUUGUUACCCAGGCUGGAGUGCAAUGGCACGAUCUCGGCUCACUGCAACCUCCGCCUCCUGGGUUUAGGCAAUUCUCCUGCCUCAGCCUCCUGAGUAGCUUGGGAUUACAGGCAUAUGCCACCAUGCCCAGCUAAUUUUUUGUAUUUUUAGUAGAGACGGGGUUUCACCAUGUUGACCAGGAUGGUCUCGAUCUCUUGACCUCAUGAUCCACUCGCCUCGGCCUCCCAAAGUGCUGGGAUGAUAGGCGUGAGCCACCGCGCCCGGCCCUCUUUUCUUGUUUAUACUACUGUUACUUUGCUUUUUGGUCACUUGCAAGCAAACAAUUCUAACUGACUCAGGAAGAAAACAUGAAAUUUUUAUAUAUAAACUUCAGAGUGGUUAGCAGGGAGCAUUGAAGAAAGUGGGAAUGUGCUGGAUGGGAAGGGAAGGGUACAGAAAGGAGAAAACUUCUUUUAAGUGUUCAUUGAACUUUUAAAAAGGCAACUUGCCAUUUGGUAGAAAUUCAGCUACUGAGAACAUCAAAUGUAUCUUAUUAGCAUUGAUGUGUUGCAAUUGUGAUGCUGCAAGUGUGAGCAGUAAAAUGCACUGAGUAUGUCAGAAGUAUCCUUAGCUUUCUUAGCUCGAUUAAAACAAAAAAAUAUCCAAAUGCCUGCACUUCACCUUGGAGUCCUGGAAUGUCUGGACAACUUUCUUUAAAGGAAGGCUUAUUAUAAAGUGGUAUAGUAUCAAUUGACUACAAAACGCUUUCACAACUUCCCAGAAGAGUUUCAGCUCAAUUCAGCACAAUAUGACCGAGUAUGACUACCCAUUACAAUAUGCUAGCACGUGAAUUCAUUAUAUGCAAUAUCUAAGCCCAUCAAUGUUGAGCUAAGCAUUUUGAUGGCCAGAGCUCAUAGAUCCAUCUUAAUACAAACUCUAAAGUUUGGGCUUUCAGGAAUACAUCAUGGACACAUUGCUUUACCUCUGUGGAAUCAGAGGGCUUACACUUGGGUAUCUAAGGGCUUGCUAGGAGUGGGAGCAGAUGGUAGUUUUUAUAUGUUCUUUUUAUAAAUUCAUUUUGAGCAGGUUUUUUUUUGCAUGAAUAUUUCAUUUAUGACAGGGUGCUGCUUAGUUAUAUAAAAAGUAAAUACAUAACGAGC